CAGAUGUCAACAUCUAGAUGGCAGAGACAGUAGAAUUUUAAACAAGCAAUUAUAAAAAUGCUUCACUGAGUACUUAUGAACAUGUUUGAAACAAAUGAAGAAAUAGAAACUGUCACAAAGAAAUAGAAAGUCUUAGCAGAGAAAUAAAAGAUAUUUAAAAAAGAACCAAAAGGAAAUGUUAGAUCUGAAAUACAAAACUGAAAUAAAAAUCUUAACAGCAGAAUGGAGGGCACAGAGGAAAGGAUCAGUGAACUGAAAGAUAGAACAAAAGGAAAGAUCCAAUCUGAAUAACAGAGAAAAUAAAAUGGAAAAAUGAACAGUGCCUCAGGGACCCAUGAGACUAAAAAAAGAUCGCACAUUCCUGUCACUGUGGGUCUCUGAAGAGAGAAAGAAGAUGGCAGGGUUGAAAAAAUACUCAAAGAAAUAAUGGCUGAAAAUCUCUCAAAUUUGGCAAAUGACAUAAACCUACAGACACCAGAAGUGAAGUAAACCCAAAGAAAUCCGUACAAGACACAUCACAAUUGAUCUUCCGAAAAGCAAAGGCAAAAAGUCUUAAAAGUAGCUCAAGAGAAAUGACACCUGAUCUGUAGGGAAAAGCAAUUUGAACGACAAUGGACUUCUUAUCAGGAGUCAUGAAGCCACAUGGAAGUAGCAAACAUUUUCAAGUGCUGAAGAAGGGGAACUCUUAACCCAGAAUCCUUGGAUAUCCACUGGAAACAAUUCAUGAAGGACAUUCUCAGAUAAAGGAAAACUAAGAGAGUUUGUCACCAGCAAACUGAGGAAGCUGAAAUAUAGUGGCAUGUAUAGCUGAUCAGGAGCCAGUGAGGAAACCCCAGGGACAGGUGGCUGAAAGGAUUUAAUAGCACAGAAAUUGUAUACAUCAGGGUCCAGGAGGUGAAGGAGAUCUCUUUACAUGAACAGUCUACAGAAAUCUUGAGUAAGGCUUUGGAUUUCCACAGUGCAUUGACCUAGGCAUUUAAGCCAAUCAUAUCUAAAUUCAAAUGGCAACAAAAUAUUUUUAAAAAUCUUUCAAAGCAGGUGAUGCUACAGUCUCUGUGCUUCACAAAUCCAAGUUAUCAUUAUUGGCUACCACUCCUCCAUAUGCACAGGCAAUAAGUCAGGUAUUCCUUCCAGUAAUUGGGGCUACAAUGUAAACUUAGCAAAGCUUCCAGAUUAACACAUUUGUAAAAACAAGACUUCCUAAUAACCUGUCAUCUGCUUUCCCAAUUUCUCUAUAAUUUUAGUCUGUAGAUGACAUUCUUGUGGAGUUUUAGGUGACUGUCAUAUUGCAGCCAUCUGGCAGCCUGUUUAAGAAGCACAACUCUGACAUUAUAAGAUGAUGAAUCAGUGGUUAAAAACAAAACAAAAGGUGGUUGAUGUUUAUUGUAAUACAAUCUUAUAAAAUCUGAGAGUAUUAACUAAUUAGUAUUUAUAAAAGCAUCUUCAAACUGAAAUAUCCAUUACCAUUGAAAAUCAUUUUAACUAGAUAAAAUAUUUCCCCAAGUUGUUUUUUUGUGACACAAAAUAAAAUAGUGGACAUUCAAUGAUUAUAAAAUGCUUGUUUGCUUUUAGAAUGGGCAUAUCAUGGAUAUCAGGGUUUUUUGUGCGUGCUUAUGUAAUUUCCUUGCUAGUAAUUUUUCAGUAGUUCUUCAUGAUAAAUCUAAACUCCUUAGGUUGGACAUGAAUUCUUUUGUAGUCUAAACCUGAUCAUCUUUUAAUUUAACUCCCAUAAUACUCAGACAGUAAUUUUAUAUCCUACUUGUGAGGAAAUACUAAGUAGGGUCCUGAGCUCUCAUACCUUUCUCUUUUUUGUCUUUUUGUUCGACUCAUGUUUUCCAAUACUUGAAAAGCAUUGCUUGUUGUUCACCUGAAAAUUUCUUCUUCAAAAUUCAGAUCUUCCUAAGUUCUCAAACACACCAAGAAUUUUUUUCUUCUAUGUCCCUGUAGUGCAUAUCCAUUUAAUCAUGUAUAAUGUGUAUGUAUUAUAACAACCUGUACAACUAUUUCACCCCAUUUAUCUAUUUGUUCAUUUAAAUAUGUGUUAGGGCAGGGUGUGGUGGCUCACACCUGUAAUCCUAGCACUUUGGGAGGCAGAGGCAGAUGGAUCACUUGAGGUCAGGAGUUUGAGACCAGCCUGGCCAACAUGGUGAAACCCCAUCUUUAAUAAAAAUACAAAAAUUAGCCAGGCAUGGUGGCUGCACCUGUAAUCCCAGCUACUCGAGAGACUGAGGCAGGAGACUUGCUUGAACCUGGGAGGCAGAGGUUGCAGUGAGCCGAGAUUACACCCCUGCACUCCAGCCUGGGUGACAGAGUGAGACUGUCUCAAAAAGAAAAAAAUAAUUAUAUAUAUAUGUGUGUGUGUGUGGUAGACUCACAAAUAAACAUGUGGUAGACUCUGUUCUAGGCACAGAAAAUACAGCAGUUAUCUUAAUCAGGUUCUAAAAUAGAAAGUAUUUUGAAUAUUUACAACAGAGGGGGUUUAAAGCGGAGUAUUGGUAAUUCAGGUGAUGGAGGAGACUAGAAUCCAAACAGGGCCCAUGGAAGCAGCCAGAAGUUAAUAAUAGGAAAUCACCAGCAUCCCAAGACUGGGGAAGCUGAAAGAGGUGAUGCUGCAAGAGCCAGGAGCUGUGGUCACCCUUCAUAAACUGGAACCAUGACUACCUGCCUAUGAAAGCUACUAGCCUUUGAAAGCUACCUGAAACCAUGUGGGAGAAACAGCUUCUAUUGGAGAGGCCAUCACAGGAACAAACUGAGGGAGAAAUACCCUGGCUGCUCCUUUCUCCUGUUCUUCAAUCAAUCAGUCCUUUCUAUUGUUAUUAGUUAAUUUGGAAACCCUCGAUGAAAAGAGCCUGAGAAGUGUCAUCUGUAGGUUUGUAACUCGCAGUGGUACAGAGCACAGCAGAGGAAGAGUGCAAAAUGGAUUCUAAGGCAAAAAUGCCCAGGUUUGGAACCGUGGUGAAAAAUCAGAAACAUUUUCUCAGCCUUCACAAAACAGUCUAAGCAUUUCAUUCUAUUUCAUCUCUGUAUUCCUAACUCCUUUUGUGGCAAUUGCACAUUAUAAGUGGCCAAUAUACAUCUUGAUUACCUUAAUAGAUAAAUGGAAACAGGUACAAAAUAAAUAGUCAUUUUGAUCUCACGGUUCCUUCCACAACUCUGACAAACUGCUUCACAGGAAGACACUUUGAAUGGCAGUUUUAUCACAUGAUGUCAAAUAAGCAGAACAUAGCUUUCACUUCCCUCGUGUGGGCAUUUGAGUUCUCUAUACAUAUUGAAUUUUCUCUGGUGUUUUGCUUUAGGCCUCAUAAAUCUCAUAUCAUUCCAAGGCUUCAUAGUCCUGAGGAUUAUCAGUGUCACUGUAUUCCAGGUGAUGUAAAUUGUUGUGACAAUUUCCAGGUUUCAUUCUGUUGUAUUUUGCAGGACAGAGCCUGUCCCAACAGCCCUUCUUGCAGAUGUUGCAUUCAACACUCUAUGAGAGGAUCACUGGAUUUCCCUUGUGCAAUCUGGGCAUGAGAUGGGCAUUGGAAUUGAUCGCAAGCUUUUCUGGAGCAGACAUUUCCAAGAUUCUGUUGAACUUGUUGGCAAACUCUCUGAGUGUUAUGAGUAGCAUUUAGAUUAGCAGCUGUUCCUCUUAUUCCUAUAAAGAUUUUCUCCCUGGCCAAUGUCUUUUUCUGAGCCAUUCUAAAUGCCAAAAUUGAUUCAAAAAAUAUGGAUGGAGAGAUUGUAUGAACACUGCAUACAAAAUGAUUCAGUUCAGUAAACAUUUUGGCAUGUGGAUUCUGUGCUUGGAACUGUGCUGAGCAGAGGGUGAGGGAGACAAAAUCACAGAGCAGUUAAAAAUGUGAGCUUGAAUUGGAUGGUUUUGAUUCCACUGUUCACUGAAUAUGUAACCUAGGGCAAAUUGCUGUCUUUUUGCAUUGGUCUUCUAAUACAUAAAAAGGGGAUAAUAAUGGUAUCAACCUAAAAGAUUAUUUUAACUAUUACAUGAACUAAGGCAUGUGGCAUGGUGAGAACAAUGCCUUGUACAUAGUGUUGGUCAUCAUCAUCGUCAUCCUUAUUUAAAAGCACUGCAGAGUCUGCACACUGCUGAAGGGCAAGGAUUGAGGCGCCUCCACCUUUGCAUCCCCCCAGUGCCUAGCACAGUACCUGGGCCACAGUAGCUAUUCCCAUUUUUAAAAAUUAUUCAGAUGUAGUGAAAUGCUUCAAAUUGCUUACUAUAUCCUAUUAGAACAUGCCCUAAUUUUCAUCCCUGAUUCAUUCAGUCAGGAGAAAUAAGCCCUUAACCCAGCAUCCUGGCCUUUAGGCUGACUCCCGGAUCUCUCAUUCUCUGUCCACCUUCAGUUUGCAUUUCUGGAUAAUUGGAGUUCAAGAGGAGAGUGGAGACAACAAGGGAAGCCACCAAUGAUGAGAAAGGCAAAUUCAAAGUAAACAUAGUGAGCUAGAGUAAGAUGACACAAAUCCCGGCACCAAAAAGGAAUAGAAUGAAUGGAAACUAUACCCUUUCCAAAAGCUUGCACACUUUAAGGGUUUCCACUCUCAUGAAGGCUUUCAGGUAGGUCUCAUUACUUAGAACACCUGCCCCCUCCUUCCUCCAAGCAUCCACAUCCUAACUAUCCUUUUUAGUCCAAGGAUGUAUUUCCCCUGGGACCCAGAGGAGUAAUUUCAAUACACGACAUAAUCUCCUUAUAGACGUGAGUAGGUAUUGCUUAGAGGCCUCCAAAUUUGAUCUUGUUUUCACUUAAUUUAUUUUUUCACUGGGUAACUAGCUCAUUUAUCAAGGUAUAUUGAGUGCCUUGUCUGUAUCAGGCCCUGGGCUAAAGCACAAGACACAGGUGAAUAACUCCAGUGCUUUGAUCUCACAAAACACAAAGAGACAUCAUUGUAUGAAGAAUUACAUUUGUGAGAAAACUUUAAGCAGAAGUAUAUCUGAGUGCUGUGUGGGCAGAGAAGUAGGAAUGACUAAAUGUUUUUAAUAUAGACAUUUUUCGGCUACAUAUCCAGUCUUCCUCAAAUCCUAACUUUCUCAUUCUCUUAACAUUCAAUUAGCUGGUCAAUUCAGUUUGCUCAUUCAAUAACUGUUUAUUGAGUUCUUGCUGUAUGCUGACCUUUGCAGAAAUCUAAAGUAUAAAUGAUAUUUCUUUCCAUGUAGGACUUUAUAAAAUAUUAGGGAGAGAAAAUAAAAACUCACAAUGCCCCUCUAAACAAUAGAGGUUAUAGUUUAAAAAGAGUUCAUGGAGGGGGUGGACCUUAGCUUAGGCCUGCAGGUAUUUACAGGAACCUGGUACCUGGAGGACAGAGGAAGAGGACCCUCUAAGCAAGGAAGAUGACUUGGGGGCCUCCUGAGAGUGAAUGGGCCCAUGUUGUGUUGAGAGGACAUACAGAAAAAAGGAAAAUGAUUCAGUUCAGGGAGUUGAGAGGGAGAGGUGAUAGGAGAUAAGGUUGGAUCCAUGGGAGGGAUCAAAUCAUGUAGGUCUCAAAAAUCUCAGAAAAAAACUGUAUAAUUAAUUAGAGUAUCUCAUGCAUACUCUGUGCCCAGCAGCCCAUUCUACACCUUCCAGGAAAACAGAAGGUGAAUAAGUGAAUUACAGGUUUUCUUUGACAAACUGAAUAUACUAGAUAGUUCCAUUGUGAAGAGAAGUUGCUAUCUUGUAGCCUGAACUUAAUAUUUAACUUCUUGUCUUUGCCACCUUUAUUAAACGUCAGCCACCGUCACUGCCUUUAAACAUUUUCACUUUGAUUUCUCGGUUGUUGUGGGGUCUAUUGGUGGUCACGUAGAAAAUCACGCUGGUUGCUGGAUUCCUAAGCUGUACUCACAUUGCUUGCCUUUUGUCUGCAACUCCUGAGGUGGUGACACCUUGUCAACAGUGUCACAACCCAAUAUGGGCCAACCUUUUACCUUGUCACCUUGCAGACUGAUGUUUUUGAAAAUACGUCGACAACACAGAUGCUUGCAGGGCAGUUGUGGAGGUGAGGAUGUGUGUAGACGUGUGGUUAUAGUCAUGCUGAGGAAAAAGCUUAUUUAUACAGAUAAAUAAAAUGAAACAUCACAGAAAAAUAAACAUGUAAUUUUUUUGGACUUGAAUAACUUGACAAUUUCAAAGGAAUAAAAGCAGCAGAGCUAUGAAGACAACCAAGCAAGUUACUAAGCAUUUAAACAAAAAUUGAAUAUUUGUACAAAGUAGCAUGAAAAAUAAGCGUGGAAUAGAGUUAGGGUUUAUAUGGGGCUUCUAAGUAGAGGGCUGAGAAACAAAUUUCUCUUGAUACUCUUCUUGGUUUCAAAGGGUGCCCAGAUUAUCCCAGAGGCCUCCAUGUGCUCCGUCUCUGUCCCUCUCACUGCUGUUUUUGACCUGGGCUUCCCUCCUCUGUUGCCUGUGUGAGGAAUAAAAUUCAGGCGUCUACCCUCCCUCAGCUUCUCACCUCACAUCAACAAAGGAAAACACAAGGCUGCUCUUCUGUUAAUGUUUCACAUUAACAAAGGAAAAUACAUUGCUGUUUUCCAAGGGCUUCUCCAAUCAUGCCCUCAGAAAACUCCAAAAGUUUUCUUCUCCAAGAAAACUUCAACCUCUUGGGUUGGGGACCCCUUCGCAAGACCCCUUCGCAAGACCCCUUCGCAAGACUCUUCACCUGCAGAAGAAAAAGUAGCCACACAGAGACCGAAGUAUCCAUUUCAGUGAGUCUCUUGAGACUUUCAUAAAGGAAGCUAAAACAGGAAGUCUGUGCCAGUGCAGAUGAGGGCAGGAGUCAGCAGAGACUGGAGGCCGUAGAGCUCUCCAGGAAAGGAGUCUCAGGGUUUAGCUUCUCCUUUUGACUCUCACUUCUGUAGCCAACAAACAUGUUAAUUUCAACCAGGCCAGGCUAAGCUUUGCUGUGAGGAAGGCAUCAGACAGCUGUAUGCCCAAGGCAAAAUAAGAAACAUGAAGAACAAUCAGGAUCUUGGGUUGAGGUUCGACAUUUUUCCUUUUUUCUGAGAGGGGAUUUCCAGUUGCUAUCUGUACAAAAGGCAGCCAUUUUGCUGUACUCAAUUUGUAAAACAGAGUUUAGAUAUAUUAUCUGUCCUCAGAUUAGUUUGGUACCAUUGGUGUGGAAGGGCAGAAAUCACAUAAGAAUGUGAUGAUGGCAUACAAUAAUACUGCUUUGUCUACAGAGUUUUCAAAUUACGUUUUAAAAGUUUAUUCACUCCAACAUACUUGCUGAUAACACACUACUUACUUGGGGUGGUGGAGGACACCAGGAAAUAAACAUAUACAGUUUCUUACCCAUAGGAGCUUCCAAGCUUGUGGAAGAAAUGCUGGUGCUGUUACUCACAGCAGAUGUCCCCCAGACCCAAGAUAUGUUUGUGUUAAUAGCUAUGAGAUUGCAAGGAAGAAAGAUUAUGCCUGGUGAGGGGCUUCAGACAGGAAGUUGGAUUUCCUUUGAGAUUUUAAGGAAGGAGAAUUAAAAUCAACUCUUCUGACAGUGAGAAUGGGUAGAAUGAUUCAAAUAAAAGAGAAACGGAGUGAGGAAAGGCAUAGAAUUAAGAGAGUCUAUAGUUUGUAGAUUUGGAAUUAGUGGGAACCCUGGCUUGACUGAAAAUAAAAGGUAUAUGAAGUGAUUUUGUCACACAUUUUAAAAAAGAUGGAGAACAGUUUAGUUUCUUCAUAGAGGGCUUACAUACAAGGAUGUGUAGUCUUUAUAGCAAUGACAGCCACAGGAUUUAUUGCAUGGGACAGUACCUUGACAAGGUCUUUAAGACUCAAUGAGAGGUUUCCUUCCAUGUACCUACCCUACAACAUCAUGCAUCAUACUGGAUUGUAACUGCUUCUCAUAUAUACUCUUUUAUAGACUGAAGAUUCUUUUUAAGGCAAGAACUACUUUUUGAAAGAUGAGCUUUUAGAGAAUACUAGUUAGAGCUUGGUACAUAUCAUGGACUAAAAAAGUCUUUUGAAUAAAUAAGUGAAAAUAUCAGAGCUGACAAAUAUUGUACCGGUCCAGGGAAGUCAGGGGUAUCUUGGAUAGAUACUUGACAGUUCCUGGGGGCUGAGUGGAUGGGGAAGGCAAGGAAAUGGUUUUCAACCUUGUGACUUUGGAUGGUGGUACCUUGGAGAGAAAUAAGAUAGUAAGAAAUUGUCACUGCUAUUUUGAUGGGAAAAUGUGCUGGCACACUCUUCCAAACCCUCAAAAUGCAAGCUAAAAUAGCAUGCCUAAUCUGUAUAAAUGGAUGACAUCAAUUACAAAACUAAAUCAAUAUGCUUAUGAAAUUUAAUGUUUGCUUGCACAUAUAUUUUUUAAACUUCCAUAUAUUAAAAGGUAACCUGUGCAUUUGUCAGAUGUUUUCUGAGUGUCAAUAUGCAACUUAAUAUCUUGCCUCAGGUCCAGUGAAAAACCAGACUAUUUUACCCCCCAAAAUUUAGGAAAACUCCCAUAGAAAGGAUGAAACAAAAGUGAUGGAUCUGUUAUUCAUUAAAUUGUUACAGUAUGGGGCUCAAUGGUAACUCUGCCCUGUUACUCCC
rnacentral:lncRNA from 1 species